GCAUUGGUGGUUCAGAGGUAGAAUUCUUGCCUGCCAUGCGGGAGGCCUGGGUUUGUUUCCCAGCCUAUGGG
rnacentral:tRNA from 1 species